AACUGCCAUAAUGGCCAUAGCAGAAGUGCUCAUGUUGUGGCCCUGUCAGACCCUAACAAAUCUGUAAAUUCUGCU
rnacentral:ribozyme from 1 species